AUUGAACGCUGGCGGCAGGCCUAACACAUGCAAGUCGAGCGCGAAAGGCCUUCGGGCUGAGUAGAGCGGCGGACGGGUGAGUAACGCGUAGGAAUCUACCUGGUAGUGGGGGACAACUUGGGGAAACUCAAGCUAAUACCGCAUACGCCCCAGGGGGGAAAGCGGGGGACCUUCGGGCCUCGCGCUAUCAGAUGAGCCUGCGUAGGAUUAGCUAGUUGGUGAGGUAAAGGCUCACCAAGGCGACGAUCCUUAGCUGGUCUGAGAGGAUGAUCAGCCACACUGGGACUGAGACACGGCCCAGACUCCUACGGGAGGCAGCAGUGGGGAAUAUUGCGCAAUGGGGGCAACCCUGACGCAGCCAUGCCGCGUGUGUGAAGAAGGCCUUCGGGUUGUAAAGCACUUUAAGUGGGGAGAAAGGCCCGCUGGUUAAUAGCCAGCGGGAUUGAUGUUACCCACAGAAUAAGCACCGGCUAACUCCGUGC
rnacentral:rRNA from 1 species